AAGGAAUCAAUGACACCUUUGCCUUCGAGUUGUCAAGAAGGACUAUACAUUCUUUACCCUUAAGAGUACUCUCGUCUUGCAAAAAGAGAUUUCCAUCUUUAAGAGGAAUGUUGUCACACCAUAGUGGGUUAGCAUAUAGGCUAUAGCCUUCAAGACAAGCUAUACCAUCACUCUCAUCACUAGGUUCAUUGGGAGUGAUUAUACCAUCUUCAAACAAGACAUUAUACCUAAAGAGAGCAUGAUCUAUCCCACGGGCAAAUUUGAAAUAAGUAAGUUCACUCUCUAAAAGUUCAUUAUCAAGUUUUAAAGAUGUUUGAAGCACAUGAUUAUCCCUAUGAGCCAACCAA
rnacentral:lncRNA from 1 species